rnacentral:rRNA from 1 species
UUCGUAGGCGGAAAGAUAAGUCAGUGGUGAAAGCCUGUGGCUCAACCAUAGAAUUGCCAUUGAUACUGUCUUUCUUGAGUACACAUGAAGUGGGCGGAAUGUGUCGUGUAGCGGUGAAAUGCUUAGAUAUGACACAGAACACCGAUUGCGAAGGCAGCUCACUAAAGUGUAACUGACGCUGAGGAACGAAAGCGUGGGGAGCGAACAGGAUUAGAUACCCUGGUAGUCC